AAGAGUUAGCUUGGGGGAAAAUAGCUGCCCGAGUCAAUGCGUGCAAUCCUGCAGGCAUAAAAAGAACGUGGCAGCAGCUAAAAAUGAAAUAUAAAAACAUAAUUCAAACAGCCAACAGAAAGAAGGCAGAGGCCAGAAAAACUGGUGGAGGCCCUGCACCACCACCACUGACACAUGCAGAGGAGA